rnacentral:rRNA from 1 species
GUGGGGAAUAUUGCACAAUGGGCGCAAGCCUGAUGCAGCAACGCCGCGUGAGGGAUGACGGCCUUCGGGUUGUAAACCUCUUUUAGUAGGGAAGAAGCGAAAGUGACGGUACCUGCAGAAAAAGCACCGGCUAACUACGUGCCAGCAGCCGCGGUAAUACGUAGGGUGCAAGCGUUGUCCGGAAUUAUUGGGCGUAAAGAGCUCGUAGGCGGCUUGUCGCGUCUGCUGUGAGAACCCGAGGCUCAACCUCGGGCCUGCAGUGGGUACGGGCAGGCUAGAGUGCGGUAGGGGAGAGUGGAAUUCCUGGUGUAGCGGUGGAAUGCGCAGAUAUCAGGAGGAUCACCGAUGGCGAAGGCAGAUCUCUGGGCCGUAACUGACGCUGAGGAGCGAAAGCAUGGGGAGCGAACAGGAUUAGAAACCCCGGUAGUCC